CGAAGGGUGCAAGCGUUACUCGGAAUUACUGGGCGUAAAGCGUGCGUAGGUGGUUGUUUAAGUCUGUUGUGAAAGCCCUGGGCUCAACCUGGGAAUUGCAGUGGAUACUGGGCGACUAGAGUGUGGUAGAGGGUAGUGGAAUUCCCGGUGUAGCAGUGAAAUGCGUAGAGAUCGGGAGGAACAUCCAUGGCGAAGGCAGCUACCUGGACCAACACUGACACUGAGGCACGAAAGCGUGGGGAGCAAACAGGAUUAGAUACCCUGGUAGUCCACGCCCUAAACGAUGCGAACUGGAUGUUGGGUGCAAUUUGGCACGCAGUAUCGAAGCUAACGCGUUAAGUUCGCCGCCUGGGGAGUACGGUCGCAAGACUG
rnacentral:rRNA from 1 species